UGCGUUAUAAUUGCUUUCGUUGGACUUUCCGCAAUUUUCCAUACCAAAUUUCGGUUCAUUGCCCCCAAAACACAAAUAUUUUGGCCCGAAAACAGAAAUAUUUCGCCCGAAAAAAUGACUGGGGCCCAUUAAAUUUCUAACAUUAAAUUUCUAGGGGCCCCAGAGCCUCGGGGCCCGGGGCAAUUUGCCCCCCUGCCCCCCACCCC